rnacentral:rRNA from 1 species
GACAGAGGGUGCAAACGUUGCUCGGAAUCACUGGGCGUAAAGCGCGUGUAGGCGGACAAUCAAGUCAGGUGUGAAAUCCCCGGGCUCAACCUGGGAACUGCAUCUGAAACUGGUUGUCUUGAGUGUCGGAGAGGGAAGCGGAAUUCCUGGUGUAGAGGUGAAAUUCGUAGAUAUCAGGAGGAACACCCGUGGCGAAAGCGGCUCUCUGGGACGGUACUGACGCUGAGACGCGAAAGCGUGGGGAGCAAACAGG